rnacentral:lncRNA from 1 species
AGUGGGGGAGAAGGCCCCCUACCCGAAUUUUUCAUCAAUAGAAAUAGAAGAAUACAUUAGUUUACAACCCUAUAGUAGGACAGUUACGUCAAAUCAUGUUAUAAAAGAAGAAAGAGAAAGUCUAGUGGACGGCUACAUCAAAUCGUGGCGCCUGAGUAGACCGAUCCUCUCUUAGUGAGGGCAUCAGCUACCAUAUUCACAUCUCGAAAAUCAUAGACAACAAUAUGCCAAAUGUAGAGCAAGAGCUUGGCAUGACAAUUGUAUGCCACCAUCUGUAAUCUCCAUGGGGCCACGACGUCGAUUCUGAAUAGCAUCCACUUUGAAUAGCAUCCACUCUGAAUAGCAUCCACCAUAGAGAUGAAUCACUUCCUAUCUGUAAAGGGAGCAACCUUUUGCAUAGCUAAACCCUCUUCUAAUACCUAGAAUUCUGCAUAAUUAUUAGAAGCAAAUCUAAAAUGUUUAGUGAAAGCGGCCACAAAUCCACCAAUGUUGUUUCUUAUGACCCCACCACCACCUGCCAAACCAAGAUUAUGUAAUGACGCACCAUCAAUAUUCAACUUAUACUACUGGACCUUCGGGAGUGACCAUGCAACUCGGAUAAGGUAUUUUUGCUUUUGAUAGACAUCGAGUAAUAUGAAGAUUGCCAAUAAUCACCUUUUUUUGACAAUGGGGGGCCCAUUAAUCUAACUUCUGUUAGAGCCUUGACAGGUGAAGCAAUACGAAUAACAAUUUGCUCUCUCCUUGAUGCUUAGAUGUAAAAAACCUUUUUAUUUCUCUCCUCCCAUAGAAAUCGUGAAGAAUAUACCCAUCCAGAUGUUGAAAAACCCAGAUGAUUGAAUUUGAAGGCUAGCCAACUACGAUGAAUAUCUUGGGCUAAAGAUGCAAGCAUAAAUCUCUUACCACACCGUCAGGCUAAAGAGUGCCACACACCUUGCAAAAAGAGCAAUGAAACAAGAGGCGACAAAAGUUGUCCUCAUUGUUCGUGUAAAAAGGGUAGAUAGUAGCCAUAUGACAACCUUGCUGUUGAAAUAUAUAUGUAGUUGGAAGCCGAUUGUGCAUAGCAAGUCAGGAAAAAUAUUUAGCCUAAGGAUGACAUUUGGCAGACCAAAGAGCAUGAAAAAUAGGCUGGGUGAACUGCCUAAUGAAUUAAUCUUUUUAUAGGUAGAGAAAGAGAGGCAAGUUAAGAGGAAAAAGAGCUAAAGAAAGAAAUGGAAAACCAAAUGUGUACUAAAUCCAGAGGAAAUAGAAAAAAAAAAAGAAGAUCUGGAUAAUAUUUUUGAGUGUUUGAUCCUGGACAUUAGUGUUGCACCACAUCAUCAAAUUUUUAUUUGUAGAUCAAUCAAAAACUUUCUUUUAUGUUUGAUUGCCUAGUUUUUCGAGGUUUUGUUUUGACUUCUUCAGGCGUUCAGGUCGCUGAGAACAAAGUAAAGAUCAUACCCCAACUUGGAAAUUUAGGCUUAGCAUGUUGGCGACGAUCCAUCUGCCUAGGUUUACUUCGAGGGUCGUAGACGAAAUCAGGGCCAUGUAGGUUGAGCAGCAGUGGGAAUGGGUUGGGUUGGUUGAUCUAGCUCUUGCUCCUGAGCCUCGUCCUGAUCCUCAUCCUCAUGUUGCUCCUGAUUCUCAUCCUCCGCAGCAUGAUGACUCCUCAGUUUCGAUCCCCACCAUAUGCUUUAACAUGCAAUAUACUCGGUGAAAAAAUCAUAUGCCCCUAUUGCAUCGGCAGGUGCCUUUGGAUGCCAUGGUUCUUGUAUCUCUAGGGCCUGGUGCAACACAUUAAUGCCCUGCCAAAAUAAGCACCACUACAGAAGAAUAAUAAAUGCAUAAAGAAAAGCUAUAUAAAAAACUACACGGAACAAAUCUAAA